rnacentral:misc_RNA from 1 species
AAUUUUGAUGGAAUUUUGUUCAAGUACAACCAAUUCCAUAAAUUAAUAUAGAUUUCAAAAAUUUUUGAAGUUGCAAACAAGUUAAGCAUGAAUAAAUUAAUUCCAUAAACUUUUAAGUCAUUUGUUCAAAACUAGCCCUUUGGGGUUCAAUCAAAAACCAAUACUUGCUCAAUCUUCAUCUGCUUUAUUGAAUUGAGAUACAUUUAGAAUAUUGACUUGGCGAUGCUAUGAAAUUAAUAAAAAAAAUUACCAUAAAUGUGUUAUGCUAAUACAUUAGCUGGUGGAAAUUGUAGGAUCCGGUACUUACCACUUUGCCAAAAGCUUAAGCUGUUAGCAGAGGUACAACUCUAAUUUCUUCUAGCAUAGCAGCCCAAGCACAUAGGCCAAAGAGAUUUGGUAGGAUGCUAGCCUACUAGGUUAUCUCUACCCAAUGCCAACAAUCCCUCCAGCAUCUACUAGGGAUUCGAACCAUGACCUCGACUCUGAUAUCAAUUGUAAGAUCAAGUACUUACCACUGUGCCAAAAGCUUAAACUGUU